rnacentral:tRNA from 1 species
AGUUCAAAUCUGAUUCAAUUCAU